GGGAUAACACUUGGAAACAGGUGCUAAUACCGUAUAACAAUCGAAACCGCAUGGUUUUGAUUUGAAAGGCGCUUUCGGGUGUCGCUGAUGGAUGGACCCGCGGUGCAUUAGCUAGUUGGUGAGGUAACGGCUCACCAAGGCCACGAUGCAUAGCCGACCUGAGAGGGUGAUCGGCCACAUUGGGACUGAGACACGGCCCAAACUCCUACGGGAGGCAGCAGUAGGGAAUCUUCGGCAAUGGACGAAAGUCUGACCGAGCAACGCCGCGUGAGUGAAGAAGGUUUUCGGAUCGUAAAACUCUGUUGUUAGAGAAGAACAAGGAUGAGAGUAACUGUUCAUCCCUUGACGGUAUCUAACCAGAAAGCCACGGCUAACUACGUGCCAGCAGCCGCGGUAAUACGUAGGUGGCAAGCGUUGUCCGGAUUUAUUGGGCGUAAAGCGAGCGCAGGCGGUUUCUUAAGUCUGAUGUGAAAGCCCCCGGCUCAACCGGGGAGGGUCAUUGGAAACUGGGAGACUUGAGUGCAGAAGAGGAGAGUGGAAUUCCAUGUGUAGCGGUGAAAUGCGUAGAUAUAUGGAGGAACACCAGUGGCGAAGGCGGCUCUCUGGUCUGUAACUGACGCUGAGGCUCGAAAGCGUGGGGAGCAAACAGGAUUAGAUACCCUGGUAGUCCACGCCGUAAACGAUGAGUGCUAAGUGUUGGAGGGUUUCCGCCCUUCAGUGCUGCAGCUAACGCAUUAAGCACUCCGCCUGGGGAGUACGACCGCAAGGUUGAAACUCAAAGGAAUUGACGGGGGCCCGCACAAGCGGUGGAGCAUGUGGUUUAAUUCGAAGCAACGCGAAGAACCUUACCAGGUCUUGACAUCCUUUGACCACUCUAGAGAUAGAGCUUCCCCUUCGGGGGCAAAGUGACAGGUGGUGCAUGGUUGUCGUCAGCUCGUGUCGUGAGAUGUUGGGUUAAGUCCCGCAACGAGCGCAACCCUUAUUGUUAGUUGCCAUCAUUCAGUUGGGCACUCUAGCAAGACUGCCGGUGACAAACCGGAGGAAGGUGGGGAUGACGUCAAAUCAUCAUGCCCCUUAUGACCUGGGCUACACACGUGCUACAAUGGGAAGUACAACGAGUUGCGAAGUCGCGAGGCUAAGCUAAUCUCUUAAAGCUUCUCUCAGUUCGGAUUGCAGGCUGCAACUCGCCUGCA
rnacentral:rRNA from 1 species